AUGGCAGCCGCCAUUCCAGACUCAUGUGUGAGUGCAGAGGCAAUCUGAAAAUGACCCCAAAGAAGAUGAUGAAAAUGGCAAUCGGAGGUGUAGCAUCAGUCCUGGAAGAGGAGGGUACAGACGCUUCCGAUAGCAAAGGUGCUGUAAUAGGAGGCUCUAUAAUAGGAAGCUGUGGAUCAGAAUAUGACUACUUUUAUUCUGAUGAGGAAGCAAUAGAAGCUGACAAUGAGGGUUAUGCUGAGCCCAGUGAUAAGAAAAUGAAGAUGACACGGAAUCAAAUAUUAGGACUAAUACAGGCUGGGCAGAUGCCAUGGCUGCAGUCCUCAACAAGAAAACUCCUGAAAGUAAACCUACUAUUCUGGUCAAAAAUAAGAAGCUGGAAAAGGAAAAAGAAAAGUUAAAGCAAGAAAAACAAGAGAAAAUAAAACAGCGUGAUAAGUGGAUGGAGUGGGAAAUGAUAUGCAGAGUAAAGCCAGAUGUUGUCUAAGACAAGGAGACAGAGAGAAAUAUUCAGCGAAUUGCAAGGAGGGGUGUGGUGCAAUUAUUUAAUGCUGUUCACAAACAUCAAAAGAACGUUGAUGAGAAGGUUAAAGAAGCUGAAAGCUCUACUAGAAAAAAGCAAACUAAGUUGAUAUCAACUGUUUCCAAGAAAUAUUUUAUCAGCGUUUUGAAAGGAAUGGAUCAAAGUACAAAUGAGACUACCUCAAGCAAGAAGAAACCAAAAGCCAAACAGACUGAAGUGAAAUCAGAAGAGGGCCCAGGUUGGACAAUCCUAAGUGACGACUUCAUGAUGAGAGCAUGUAUGAAGGACUGGGACAAGGAAAGUGAUGGGCCAGAUGGCAGCAGACCAGAAUCUGCAAGUGACUCUGAUACAUAAAGCACCAUAGGAAAUAAAAUUAUAAUAAUUUUAUUUUUUCCAGAAAAAUAUUUCAUCCCCUGAUAGUUGAGGAAUUAUAAGGAUACCAUUUGUAAGGAAGUCAAAAGACUUUUGCCUCAUUUCAUAUUUCCCCUUUUCAUGUACACUUUAUAUAUACUUUAUUAAAAUUAUAUUUUAAACCCU